rnacentral:rRNA from 1 species
CUAGCGGGAGGCCUAACACAUGCAAGCCGAGCGGUAUUUAUUCUUCGGAAUAGAGAGAGCGGCGUACGGGUGCUUAACACGUGUGCAACCUACCUUUAUCUGGGGGAUAGCCUUUCGAAAGAGAGAUUAAUACCCCAUAAUAUAUUGAUUGGCAUCAUUUAAUAUUGAAAACUCCGGUGGAUAGAGAUGGGCACGCGCAAGAUUAGAUAGUUGGUGAGGUAACGGCUCACCAAGUCAAUGAUCUUUAGGGGUCCUGAGAGGGAGAUCCCCCACACUGGUACUGAGACACGGACCAGACUCCUACGGGAGGCAGCAGUGAGGAAUAUUGGACAAUGGGUGAAAGCCUGAUCCAGCCAUCCCGCGUGAAGGAUGACGGUCCUAUGGAUUGUAAACUUCUUUUGUAUAGGGAUAAACCUAGAUACGUGUAUCUAGCUGAAGGUACUAUACGAAUAAGCACCGGCUAACUCCGUGCCAGCAGCCGCGGUAAUACGGAGGGUGCAAGCGUUAUCCGGAUUUAUUGGGUUUAAAGGGUCCGUAGGCGGACCGAUAAGUCAGUGGUGAAAUCUCAUAGCUUAACUAUGAAACUGCCAUUGAUACUGUCGGUCUUGAGUAAAUUAGAGGUAGCUGGAAUAAGUAGUGUAGCGGUGAAAUGCAUAGAUAUUACUUAGAACACCAAUUGCGAAGGCAGGUUACCAUGAUUUAACUGACGCUGAGGGACGAAAGCGUGGGGAGCGAACAGGAUUAGAUACCCUGGUAGUCCACGCCGUAAACGAUGCUAACUCGUUUUUGGGGCGCAAGCUUCAGAGACCAAGCGAAAGUGAUAAGUUAGCCACCUGGGGAGUACGUUCGCAAGAAUGAAACUCAAAGGAAUUGACGGGGGCCCGCACAAGCGGUGGAUUAUGUGGUUUAAUUCGAUGAUACGCGAGGAACCUUACCAAGGCUUAAAUGGGAAUUGACAGGUUUAGAAAUAGAUCCUUCUUCGGACAAUUUUCAAGGUGCUGCAUGGUUGUCGUCAGCUCGUGCCGUGAGGUGUUAGGUUAAGUGCUGCAACGAGCGCAACCCCUGUCACUAGUUGCUAACAUUAAGUUGAGGACUCUAGUGAGACUGCCUACGCAAGUAGAG